rnacentral:lncRNA from 1 species
CGAUAUUGAGAAGGAUGCUAAACAUGCUCUUUAGUGGGAUGAUGUGCUCUGAAGGCACCUGACCCCCAGACGAGCAUCCCUGUGUCCAUGCAUUUCUGUGUUUAUGAACAGGUGAGGCCAGAGACAGGCAGACAGCAAAUGUAUCGCAGCGGGCUGGAUGACAUGGCCCUUGGAAUCUGUGCACAUGCCUGCCUUUCUGAUGCACGUCCGUGUUUUCUCUGCACCUCCCCAGUGGUGUUCGUGUAAAAAGCAGGCUCAUGUUAGCAAGGAAUGAUUGUCAUCUCAUGUGAUCCUGCGAGAUGGCAGAAGUCCGGGGCCACAUGGAGUGUGGGCUCCUUCGGAGGCUGAUGGAACCCUCCUGAAUGAGUUGUGGCAAUGGAAGUAAGGCCAGUGGCUACGAGGGACAGUCUUCAUCUUGGAAGAUCCAUCGAGAUGGCAGGGAGCCCCUUGACAAGUGGAAUCUGGUCUCCUUUGGUGCUGGUGGAUCCCACAGGUGGUCUGGCAUGGAAGAAGGCCACAGGCUACGAUGGAUGAUCUUUGUCUUGGGGGAUUCCUGGAGAUGGUGGGGAGCCCCUGAGCAUGUGCGGCACAUGUGGCGUGGGCUUCUUCAGAAGCUGGUGGACCCCUCAGGAUGCUCGUCAAGGUUUUUCUACGAGUUCUGUUAA